UACGUAGGGGGCUAGCGUUGUCCGGAUUUAUUGGGCGUAAAGAGCUCGUAGGUGGUUCGGUAAGUCGGGGGUGAAAUCCUGGAGCUCAACUCCAGAACUGCCCUUGAUACUGGCGGUCUCGAGUCCGGGAGAGGUGAGUGGAACUGCGAGUGUAGAGGUGAAAUUCGUAGAUAUUCGCAAGAACACCAGUGGCGAAGGCGGCUCACUGGCCCGGUACUGACGCUGAGGUGCGAAAGCGUGGGGAGCAAACAGG
rnacentral:rRNA from 1 species